CAUUCACGGAGAGUUUGAUCCUGGCUCAGGACGAACGCUGGCGGCGUGCUUAACACAUGCAAGUCGAGCGAGGCCCUCCCUUCGGGGAGGAGCCCUAGCGGCGAACGGGU
rnacentral:rRNA from 1 species